GAAUCCUGGCUCAGAGUGAACGCUGGCGGCGUGCGUUAACACAUGCAAGUCGAACGAGAACCGGAUUUAUAGCUUGCCUAUAAUUGUCAGCUAAGUGGCGCACCGGGUGAGUAAUGUAUAGGUAAUAUGCCUCUUACUAAGGGAUAACAAAUGGAAACGUUUGCUAAUACCUUAUACUCCUUAUUAACAGAAGUUAAUAAGGGAAAGAUUUAUUGGUAAGAGAUUAGCCUGUAUUGUAUCAGUUAGUUGGUGGGGUAAUGGCUUACCAAGACUAUGACACAUAACUGGUUUGAGAGGAUGAUCAGUCACACUGGAACUGAGACACGGUCCAGACUCCUACGGGAGGCAGCAGUGGGGAAUAUUGCACAAUGGACGAAAGUCUGAUGCAGCAACGCCGCGUGGAGGAUGACACAUUUCGGUGCGUAAACUCCUUUUAUAUGAGAAGAUAAUGACGGUAUUAUAUGAAUAAGCACCGGCUAACUCCGUG
rnacentral:rRNA from 1 species